GACGAACGCUGGCGGCGUGCUUAACACAUGCAAGUCGAACGGUGAAGCGCCUUCCUUUUUGGUGGGUGUGGAUGAGUGGCGAGCGGGUGAGUAACACGUGAGUAACCUGCCCCCUUCUUCUGGAUAACCGCAUGAAAGUGUGGCUAAUACGGGAUAUCCUGGGUCUGUCGCAUGAUGGGUCUGGGAAAGAUAUUGUUUCGGUGGGGGAUGGGCUCGCGGCCUAUCAGCUUGUUGGUGGGGUGAUGGCCUACCAAGGCGGUGACGGGUAGCCGGCCUGAGAGGGUGGACGGUCACACUGGGACUGAGACACGGCCCAGACUCCUACGGGAGGCAGCAGUGGGGAAUAUUGCACAAUGGGCGCAAGCCUGAUGCAGCGACGCCGCGUGAGGGAUGGAGGCCUUCGGGUUGUGAACCUCUUUCGCCAGUGAAGCAGGCCUGCCUCGUUUGUGGGUGGGUUGACGGUAGCUGGAUAAGAAGCGCCGGCUAACUACGUG
rnacentral:rRNA from 1 species